rnacentral:rRNA from 1 species
AUACGGAGGAUGCGAGCGUUAUCCGGAUUUAUUGGGUUUAAAGGGAGCGUAGGUGGGAUAUUAAGUCAGCUGUGAAAGUUUGGGGCUCAACCUUAAAAUUGCAGUUGAUACUGGUUUCCUUGAGUACGGUAUAGGUGGGCGGAAUUCGUGGUGUAGCGGUGAAAUGCUUAGAUAUCACGAAGAACUCCGAUCGCGAAGGCAGCUCACCGGGCCGGAACUGACACUGAUGCUCGAAAGUGCGGGUAUCAAACAGGAUUAGAUACCCUGGUAGUCCGCACAGUAAACGAUGAAUACUCGCUGUUUGCGAUACACUGUAAGCGGCCAAGCGAAGGCGUUAAGUAUUCCACCUGGGGAGUACGCCGGCAACGGUGAAACUCAAAUGAAUUGACGGGG